AUACGGAGGGUGCGAGCGUUAAUCGGAAUUACUGGGCGUAAAGCGUACGUAGGCGGUUUGCUAAGUCAGAUGUGAAAGCCCCGGGCUUAACCUGGGAACUGCAUUUGAUACUGGCAGACUAGAGUAUGAUAGAGGGGGGUAGAAUUCCUGGUGUAGCGGUGAAAUGCGUAGAUAUCAGGAGGAAUACCAGUGGCGAAGGCGGCCCCCUGGAUCAAUACUGACGCUGAGGUACGAAAGCGUGGGGAGCGAACAGGAUUAGAUACCCCAGUAGUCC
rnacentral:rRNA from 1 species